CUCUCUCACAGCUCCUGAACAACUACAACUGAGAUGUCCUGCCAGCAGAACCAGCAGCAGUGCCAGCCCCCUCCCAAGUGCACCCCCAAGUGCCCUCCCAAGUGCCAGACCCCAAAGUGCCCUCCAAAAUGUCCCCCUAAAUGUCCUCCCAAGUGCCCGCCUGUGUCUUCUUGCUGUAGCCUGGGCUCUGGGGGCUGCUGCAGCUCUGGUGGCUGCUGUGGCUCCAGCUCUGGUGGCUGCUGCAGCUCUGGGGGUGGAGGCUGCUGCCUGAGCCACCACAGACCCCGCAGAUCUCUCCGUUGCCAUCGCCACAGCUCUGGAUGCUGUAGCAGUGGUGGCAGCAGUGGCUGCUGUGGCAGCAGUGGUGGCAGCAAUGGCUGCUGUGGCAGCAGUAGCUGCUGUGGCAGUAGCCAGCAGUCUGGGGACUGCUGCUGACCUCAGUGAGGAAGACUCUAGAAAAGCGGUGCCGAAGGAACACAUGCUCAGAAGACUUAGUAAUGAUGCUCUUUUUUUCCCCCUAUUUUCCUCCUUGCCUUGCCCUCUGAGAUGCUGAAAUCCCCAGGGAAUGCUCUGCAUUCUACUUUGGAGAGGACAAUGUCUCUUUUCAUCUUUGUUACCAAUUAAAGAAGCCUUGAAAAACA
rnacentral:lncRNA from 1 species